UACGUAGGUGGCAAGCGUUAUCCGGAAUUACUGGGCGUAAAGCGCACGCAGGCGGCUAGUCAAGUUCGGCGUGAAAGCUCCCGGCUUAACUGGGAGAGGUCGUUGAAAACUGGUUAGCUUGAGGCAAUGAGAGGGGUGUAGAAUUCCCGGUGUAGUGGUGGAAUGCGUAGAUAUCGGGAGGAAUACCAGUGGCGAAGGCGAGUCCCUGGACGACUCCUGACACUGAGGCACGAAAGCUAGGGGAGCAAACAGG
rnacentral:rRNA from 1 species